GUGCUUGCUUUGGCAACACAUAUACUAAACACUGGAAUGAUACGAAGAUUAGCAUGGCCCUUGAACAAGGAUAACAUGCAAAUUCAUGAAGUGUCCCAUAUUUUU
ensembl:snRNA U6 U6 spliceosomal RNA